UACGUAGGGUGCGAGCGUUGUUCGGAAUUACUGGGCGUAAAGAGCGCGUAGGCGGUGCUCUAAGUUCGGUGUGAAAUCUCCGGGCUCAACUGGGAGGGUGCGCCGGAAACUGGAGUGCUUGAGCGUGGGAGAGGAAAGCGGAAUUCCUGGUGUAGCGGUGAAAUGCGUAGAUAUCAGGAGGAACACCUGUGGUGUAGACGGCUUUCUGGACCAUAGCUGACGCUGAGGCGCGAAAGCGUGGGUAGCAAACAGG
rnacentral:rRNA from 1 species